rnacentral:rRNA from 1 species
UAUACGCCCUUUGGGGGAAAGAUUUAUCGGAGAUGGAUGAGCCCGCGUUGGAUUAGCUANUUGGUGGGGUAAUGGCCUACCAAGGCGACGAUCCAUAGCUGGUCUGAGAGGAUGAUCAGCCACACUGGGACUGAGACACGGCCCAGACUCCUACGGGAGGCAGCAGUGGGGAAUAUUGGACAAUGGGCGCAAGCCUGAUCCAGCCAUGCCGCGUGAGUGAUGAAGGCCCUAGGGUUGUAAAGCUCUUUCACCGGUGAAGAUAAUGACGGUAACCGGAGAAGAAGCCCCGGCUAACUUCNUGCCAGCAGCCGCGGUAAUACGAAGGGGGCUAGCGUUGUUCGGAAUUACUGGGCGUAAAGCGCACGUAGGCGGAUCGGUCAGUUAGGGGUGAAAUCCCAGGGCUCAACCCUGGAACUGCCUUUAAUACUGCCGGUCUGGAGUUCGAGAGAGGUGAGUGGAAUUCCGAGUG